CAGCAGCCGCGGGAAUACCAGCACCUCGAGUGGUCAGGAGGUUUAUUGGGCCUAAAGCAUCCGUAGCCGGUUGCAUAAGUUUUCGGUUAAAUCUAUGCGCUUAACGUAUAGGCCGCCGAAAAUACUGUGCAGCUAGGGAGUGGGAGAGGUACACGGUACUCGAUAGGAAGGGGUAAAAUCCUUUGAUCUAUUGAUGACCACCUGUGGCGAAGGCGGUGUACCAGAACACGUUCGACGGUGAGGGAUGAAAGCUGGGGGAGCAAACCGGAUUAGAUACCCCCGUAGUCCCUGUCUCUUAUAC
rnacentral:rRNA from 1 species